AUUGAACGCUGGCGGCAGGCCUAACACAUGCAAGUCGAGCGAGCGGAGGACGGGUGAGGAAUGUAUGGGGACUGCCCGAUAGAGGGGGAUAACUACUGGAAAAGGUAGCUAAUACCGCAUACUAUCGGAAAACCCAUAUGGGAUUAGCUAGUAGGUGAGGUAAUGGCUUACAUAGGCGACGAUCCCUAGCGGGUCUGAGAGGAUGAUCAGCCACACUGGUACUGAGACACGGCCCAGACUCCUACGGAUGCAGCCGUGGGGAAUAUUGCACAAUGGGCGCAAGCCUGAUGCAGCCAUGCCGCGUGUAUGAAGAAGGCCCUAGGGUUGUAAAGUACUUUCAUUCGGGAGGCGUUACCGACAGAAGAAGCACCGGCUAACUCCGUGCCAGCCGCCGCGGUAAUAC
rnacentral:rRNA from 1 species